rnacentral:rRNA from 1 species
UACAGAGGUGGCAAGCGUUGUUCGGAAUUACUGGGCGUAAAGGGCGCGUAGGCGGCCUUGUCAGUCAGACGUGAAAUCCCCAGGCUUAACCUGGGAACUGCGUCUGAUACUACAAGGCUGGAGUUCGGGAGAGGAAUGUGGAAUUCCAGGUGUAGCGGUGAAAUGCGUAGAUAUCUGGAAGAACACCGGUGGCGAAGGCGGCUCACUGGCCCGGUACUGACGCUGAGGUGCGAAAGCGUGGGGAGCAAACAGG